rnacentral:ribozyme from 1 species
AGAGAAAGAGGGGAAGCAUACAUAGCAGGUGCUUUGUUUCCCACUUCUUCCUUUUUUUCCUUUUAUUAUCCUUAAGUUUUUUAAUUAA